rnacentral:rRNA from 1 species
UCCUCCUAAAGAGUAACGGAGGAGCACGAAGGUUGGCUAAGCAUGGUCGGACAUCAUGCGGUUAGUGCAAAGGCAUAAGCCAGCUUGACUGCGAGAGUGACGGCUCGAGCAGGUACGAAAGUAGGUCUUAGUGAUCCGGUGGUUCUGAAUGGAAGGGCCAUCGCUCAACGGAUAAAAGGUACUCCGGGGAUAACAGGCUGAUACCGCCCAAGAGUUCAUAUCGACGGCGGUGUUUGGCACCUCGAUGUCGGCUCAUCACAUCCUGGGGCUGAAGUAGGUCCCAAGGGUAUGGCUGUUCGCCAUUUAAAGUGGUACGCGAGCUGGGUUUAGAACGUCGUGAGACAGUUCGGUCCCUAUCUGCCGUGGGCGUUGGAAGAUUGAGAGGGGUUGCUCCUAGUACGAGAGGACCGGAGUGAACGCACCACUGGUGUUCGGGUUGUCAUGCCAAUGGCAUUGCCCGGUAGCUAAGUGCGGAAGAGAUAACCGCUGAAAGCAUCUAAGCGGGAAACUUGCCUCGAGAUGAGUCUUCCCUGUCGCUUUAAGCGACCUAAAGGAACGUUUAAGACUAAGACGUUGAUAGGCUGGGUGUGUAAGCGUAGCGAUACGUUGAGCUAACCAGUACUAAUGAACCGUGAG